ACUCAACGGAAAUUUUUUAAAUUGGGUGCGUUUAAGUUGUAAAAGCAUGCUGUCUUGUAGCAGAUUCUUGAUCAACUUUUCAACUCUAAAUCUUGUAUUUAUGGAGUUU
rnacentral:sRNA from 1 species